rnacentral:rRNA from 1 species
AAUAGAUACCCGGGUAGUCCACGCCGUAAACGAUGGAUGCUAGCUGUUAUGAGUAUCGACCCUUGUAGUAGCGAAGCUAACGCGUUAAGCAUCCCGCCUGUGGAGUACGAGCGCAAGCUUAAAACAUAAAGGAAUUGACGGGGACCCGCACAAGCGGUGGAGCGUGUUGUUUAAUUCGAUGAUAAGCGAAGAACCUUACCAAGGCUUGACAUCCCUGGAAUUUCUCCGAAAGGAGAGAGUGCCUUCGGGAAUCAGGUGACAGGUGAUGCAUGGCCGUCGUCAGCUCGUGUCGUGAGAUGUUUGGUUAAGUCCAUCAACGAGCGCAACCCUUGUAAAUAGUUGUAAUUUUUCUAUUUAGACUGCCUCGGUAACGGGGAGGAAGGAGGGGAUGAUGUCAGGUCAGUAUUUCCCUUACGCCUUGGGCUACAAACACGCUACAAUGGCCGGUACAAAGGGCAGCCAACCCGCGAGGGGAGCAAAUCCCAUCAAAACCGGUCUCAGUUCGGAUAGCAGGCUGAAAUUCGCCUGCUUGAAGCCGGAAUCGC